UUUAUGAAUUUUAGGAUACUUUUAUGACAAUUUUAUGACAACUUGAGACAAUUUUAGGAUACUUUCAUGACAAUUUUAUGAUAAUUUUAGGAUACUUUUUUACGACAAUUUUAUGACAACUGUAGGACAAUUUUAUGACAACUUUAGGAUACUUUUAUGACCACUUUAGGACACUUUUAUGACAACUUUAGGACUCUAUGACAAUUUUAGAAAACUUUUAUGAAUUUUAGGAUACUUUUAUGACAAUUUUAGGUCAAUUUUAUGACGAUUUUAGGAUGCUUUUAUGGAAGUUUUAGACAAUGUCAUAAAAGUGUCCUAAAGUGAUCAUAAAAGUGUCAUAAAAUUUUCCUAAAAUUGUUAUAAAAGUAUCCUAAAACUGUCAUAAAGUUGUCACAAAAUUGUCAUAACAGUAUCCUAAAGUGGUCAUAAAAGUAUUCUAAAAUUGUCCUAAAGUUGUCAUAAAAUUUUCCUAAAAUUGUUAUAAAAUACUUUUUACAACAUUUUUUUUGAGUAAGUGCGACAAUAUUUUUCUAAAAUCUAAAUUUCAUUUCGGUUUGGUGUCAUAAAGUUGUCCUAAAUUGUGUCACGUUUAGGAUCAUAAGCUUAUGACAAUUUUAUGACAAGUUUUUUUACACGGGAAGGUUCAAUAGGGAUUUGUAUCGAAAGGGCGUAUAAAAAAUUUUUUUUUGCCAUUCGGUUUGAAAUUGUCUGAAACGUAAAAAUCUGUGAAAAAAAAGUUGGUGUCCUAAAGCUGAAAGGGCGUAUCUCAAAACAUACGCCCUUUCAGCUUUAAGAGAAGUACUACUUAAAGGUAAAAGGGCGCAUAAAAAAAUUGUAGUUUUGAUACCAAAUGUUAAAUAAUAGUUUCACAAGACAAGUCGUACUAAAAUAACAGCCUCAUAUACAAAGUUUGAUAUAAACAAAUAGAAAAUAAAUCAAUCAAAAACAAAUUACGUAAAAAUUAAGUAAUAAAAAAAAUCAAAAUGACAAAUAACAUUGAAAUAUUUUGAAAUUUCUCGCUUUAAUCGCCCUAUUGAAUAUAACUACAGGCGCCGUUCACACAACAGCUGUUUCAUCAUGAUCAACAAUCCAGAAUCCAAAUUUUAUAAUAACUAUUUCUUAAAAUAAAAAGCGAGAAAAUAA